rnacentral:lncRNA from 1 species
CGUUAGGCGGGUUGCUGGUCUGAUUAUCUUUUUCGCGAAAAUUCAUAUGCGCUGAAUAAAUAAAGUCAACAGUAGUAUACCGCUGUUCGAAACUCAUAGAUCGAUAGAAAAAAAAUCCGAGUUACAAACUAAAACUGAGGGAAACUCAUUAAUUGUAAGAGGAGAACAACGACACAACAUUAAAAUGCAACACACAGAGAAACGAACUAAGCAUUAGACAAAAUUCAAUGAGAAUAACAAAUAUAACAUCAAAACUAAAUACAUGAAUUUUGGAUAGAAAAGUACCGUGACACGUCUAAUAGUAAUGUGAAUGCACACUCAAAUAUAUGAGGUAACAAACGACACAACAUAAACACAACGUUAUAAUGUAUCAC